rnacentral:lncRNA from 1 species
CUAGUUGGUGAGAACGUCUGUCUAGUUGGUGAGAACGUCUGUCCAUUUUUACUGAACCUGCUGACUUCCCAGAGUUCCAUUGGUGGCUUUCUGGAUUGCCUUAGGUCUUGCUUCAGGACAACGGAAUGGGAGCAAUAAAACAAAAAGAAGUUAUAUUUACAAUCUCAGACUGAUAAAAAUUUAUAGCUAAGAAGACCCACAGAGAUUAACUGGGCCUGCUUACCCUAUUCCACCGUUUGCAUUGAGGAGAGACAGAAAUCAGAGGUCAAUGGACUUUCCCAGGAUGCAAUAGUUCGUGAGUAGUUUACUAAAGAUGAAUUCUGGGCUAUGGUCAGUGUCUGGCUUCUCACAUGUUUUCCUAAAGGAUACAGGCAAUAGUCAAUCUUUU